rnacentral:tRNA from 1 species
GGGCGCGUGGCGGAACUGGCAGACGCGUUAGGUUCAGGACCUAAUGGCCGCAAGGCUGUGGAGGUUCAACUCCUCUCGCGCCCA